rnacentral:pre_miRNA from 1 species
AUUGUUUGAUAGCCAAAAAUGACUUGCCUGCUAAUUCGAUGAGCAAAAGAGAUCUAUUUUUUAUUACUUAGAACUUGAAUGAGCUUCAUUUUCAGGCAAUCUUUUUGGCUAAUCUAACAAG